rnacentral:pre_miRNA from 1 species
UUGGGUGCGAGGUGUUUUCGCGGUUCAACCUCACCAUGACAUCAAUACUAAGGUUUGAAUCAAGGUUUGGUUGAGCCGUGCCAAUAUCCCGUGCCACGAA